rnacentral:lncRNA from 1 species
ACUGACAUUGGACUUCAACAGCGACCUGCAGGUUAUCUACUAACAUCAUUGUCGUCUUCGAAGAAAGAUGAAGGCCAGUGUCUACGUCCUUCUGGCGCUCUUUAGCGUCGUCAUGGUGACAGCAAAUCUUGUGAGAAAAGACGAGAUUCCUGGAUGGGUGUCAGAGCUGGAACAGUUGGGCAGUGAGCAGCAGCCACCCCAGGAAGCAGCAGCUGAGGGGUCAGACCCAGCAGAACGUAACCUCACCCCUGAGGAAAUUCACAAUCUUUUAUUGUGGUUGCCUGGGUAGACAACUCUCAAUCAAUCCUCCUUCGCUUAAGUCGACGGCUGAACAUCGUCCAAUGCUGACAUCACCAAAUAAGUGAAAGAAAUAAAUACUUCUGAGUAA